GAUGAACGCUAGCGGCAGGCUUAAUACAUGCAAGUCGAGGGGCAGCAGGUCCCGCAGCAAUGCGGGAUGCUGGCGACCGGCAAACGGGUGCGGAACACGUACACAACCUUCCUUUAAGCGGGGAAUAGCCCGGGGAAACCCGGAUUAAUACUCCAUAGUAUAUUGAAAAGGCAUCUUUUAAUAUUAAGAUUAUCACUUAAGAUGGGUGUGCGGCUGAUUAGGUAGGUUGGCGGGGUAACGGGCCCACCAAGCCUACGAUCAGUAACUGGUGUGA
rnacentral:rRNA from 1 species